rnacentral:rRNA from 1 species
GGCAAGAUUUGGGAACUUGCUCCAAAGUUAGCGGCGGACGGGUGAGUAACACGUGGGCAACCUGCCUAUAAGACUGGGAUAACUUCGGGAAACCGGAGCUAAUACCGGAUAACAUAUGAGACCACAUGGUCUCAUAUUAAAAGAUGGCUUUUAGCUAUCACUUAUAGAUGGGCCCGCGGCGCAUUAGCUAGUUGGUGAGGUAAUGGCUCACCAAGGCGACGAUGCGUAGCCGACCUGAGAGGGUGAUCGGCCACACUGGGACUGAGACACGGCCCAGACUCCUACGGGAGGCAGCAGUAGGGAAUCUUCCGCAAUGGACGAAAGUCUGACGGAGCAACGCCGCGUGAGCGAAGAAGGUCUUCGGAUCGUAAAGCUCUGUUGUUAGGGAAGAACAAGUACCGUUCAAAUAGGGCGGUACCUUGACGGUACCUAACCAGAAAGCCACGGCUAACUACGUGCCAGCAGCCGCGGUAAUACGUAGGUGGCAAGCGUUAUCCGGAAUUAUUGGGCGUAAAGCGCGCGCAGGCGGUCCUUUAAGUCUGAUGUGAAAGCCCACGGCUCAACCGUGGAGGGUCAUUGGAAACUGGGGGACUUGAGUGCAGAAGAGGAGAGCGGAAUUCCACGUGUAGCGGUGAAAUGCGUAGAGAUGUGGAGGAACACCAGUGGCGAAGGCGGCUCUCUGGUCUGUAACUGACGCUGAGGCGCGAAAGCGUGGGGAGCGAACAGGAUUAGAUACCCUGGUAGUCCACGCCGUAAACGAUGAGUGCUAAGUGUUAGAGGGUUUCCGCCCUUUAGUGCUGCAGCAAACGCAUUAAGCACUCCGCCUGGGGAGUACGGUCGCAAGACUGAAACUCAAAGGAAUUGACGGGGGCCCGCACAAGCGGUGGAGCAUGUGGUUUAAUUCGAAGCAACGCGAAGAACCUUACCAGGUCUUGACAUCCCUA